rnacentral:rRNA from 1 species
GACGAACGCUGGCGGCGUGCCUAACACAUGCAAGUCGAACGGAGUUACUUGUUCAGAUCCCUUCGGGGUGACGAACUUUUAACUUAGUGGCGGACGGGUGAGUAACGCGUGAGUAACCUGCCUCUGAGAGGGGAAUAACGUUCUGAAAAGAUCGCUAAUACCGCAUAACAUAUCGAAGCCGCAUGACUUUGAUAUCAAAGAUUUUAUCGCUCGGAGAUGGACUCGCGUCCGAUUAGCUUGUUGGCGGGGUAACGGCCCACCAAGGCGACGAUCGGUAGCCGGACUGAGAGGUUGAUCGGCCACAUUGGGACUGAGACACGGCCCAG